rnacentral:rRNA from 1 species
GAUGAACGCUGGCGGCGUGCCUAAUACAUGCAAGUCGAGCGAACAGACGAGGAGCUUGCUCCUCUGACGUUAGCGGCGGACGGGUGAGUAACACGUGGAUAACCUACCUAUAAGACUGGGAUAACUUCGGGAAACCGGAGCUAAUACCGGAUAACAUGUUGAACCGCAUGGUUCAACAGUGAAAGACGGUCUUGCUGUCACUUAUAGAUGGAUCCGCGCCGCAUUAGCUAGUUGGUAAGGUAACGGCUUACCAGGGCAACGAUGCGUAGCCGACCUGAGAGGGUGAUCGGCCACACUGGAACUGAGACACGGUCCAGACUCCUACGGGAGGCAGCAGUAGGGAAUCUUCCGCAAUGGGCGAAAGCCUGACGGAGCAACGCCGCGUGAGUGAAGAAGGUCUUCGGAUCGUAAAACUCUGUUAUUAGGGAAGAACAAAUGUGUAAGUAACUAUGCACGUCUUGACGGUACCUAAUCAGAAAGCCACGGCUAACUACGUG